rnacentral:rRNA from 1 species
AUUGAACGCUAGCGGGAUGCCUUACACAUGCAAGUCGAACGGAGUGGCGAACGGGUGAGUAAUGUAUCGGAACGUGCCCAGUAGCGGGGGAUAAAUACGCGAAAGCGUAGCUCAUACCGCAUACUAUUGGCGCGGCCGCUAUCGGAUUAGCUAGUUGGUGGGGUAACGGCUCACCAAGGCGACGAUCCGUAGCUGGUUUGAGAGGACGACCAGCCACACUGGGACUGAGACCAGGCCCAGACUCCUACGGAAGGCAGCAGUGGGGAAUGUUGGACAAUGGGGGAAACCCGGAUCCAGCCAGCCCGCGUGUGCGAUGAAGGCCUUCGGGUUGUAAAGCACUUUUGGCAGGAAAGCGGUACCUGCAGAAUAAGCCACGGCUAACUACGUGCCAGCCGCCGCGGUAAUUC